GCAGCUGGAAGGACAUCACCGCAUCCACCGCACAGAACUGAGCACCAACCACGUGCUGCUCUACAUGGAGCAGGUGAGCAAUGUGACUCAGAGCUUCUCCUUCGCGGUGGAACAGGACUUCCCCGUGCAGAGCCUGAAGCCAGCUCUGGUGAAAGUCUACGAUUACUACGAGACGGAUGAAUUUGCCAUCGCUGAGUACAGCGCCCCCUGCAGCAAAGGUAGCGUAUGAAGAGCCAUUUCCUCCCCUCGUCCUGCUCACAGCACCCCCGGAUCUACUCCCCACUGCGAGAGCUCAGCUCCAGGCGUGCAUCCCCGGUGCAGUCAGAACUGGUGGCUUUUUCCCCCUGCACAGGGGUUUGUUGCCUGCACUGAUGGCGUCUUUGCUUAUUCCGGGGGAUAGAUGCUCCUUUCAUCCCUCACUUUACACAUCUCCCUGCUGCAGCCUCUGCCUCAUGAGCCGUAUUGAAACUGUGUCAUUGCAGUGGUUUAUGAGAGGCACUUCCAGGGGCGGGGCGAAGGCUCCAGCCCAAUCAGAGCCAGCAAGUCCCUGCCAUCUCCCUGGGUCACUUGUCUGUGUGACGUUUUCAGAGAUGGGCUGUCCGGGCUCAGAUCAAAUAAGAACUUGAGGCCGCUCAGCCUGUCCUCGAAGCUCAGACUCCUUGCACCCCC